CAGCCGCCACGGUAAUACGUAGGGUGCGAGCGUUAAUCGGAAUUACUGGGCGUAAAGCGUGCGCAGGCGGUUGUGUAAGACAGGUGUGAAAUCCCCGGGCUUAACCUGGGAACUGCGCUUGUGACUGCACAGCUAGAGUAUGGCAGAGGGGGGUGGAAUUCCACGUGUAGCAGUGAAAUGCGUAGAGAUGUGGAGGAACACCGAUGGCGAAGGCAGCCCCCUGGGCCAAUACUGACGCUCAUGCACGAAAUCGUGGGGAGCAAACAGGAUUAGAUACCCCCGUAGUCCCUGUCUCUUAUAC
rnacentral:rRNA from 1 species